GAUCGAAUAGAGCAAGUGUUGGUGAUAGAGAUGCAGAUGAGAGAGUUUGAGAAGCUUAGCACAAAUUCCUCAGCAGAGCCGUUCAGAAUUUUUUUUAUAAGUUUGGGGCAAAAUGGCCCUGCUGAGAUUUAAAUAGAAAACUGUCCUGCAGCGCUCGCUGCUGUCUCGCCUAGCGAGCAGCUAGCGAACCUGCUCGCUACUGCCUCGCCUAGCGAGCUGCAAGCGAGCAUGACAGCAAGUGUUUUUUUUUUCUUUUCAAAUGCAGCACUUGCAAGUUCAUCCAGAACAGUUUUAUCACAAGGUAACCCAACACAACACAACACAAAAACAGUAAAUACUUACAAUGUUGGGGUGCCUCCCAACA
rnacentral:lncRNA from 1 species